GUAGCGAAAUGCGAUACUUGGUGUGAAUUGCAGAAUCCCGUGAACCAUCGAGUCUUUGAACGCAAGUUGCGCCCGAAGCCGUCAGGCCGAGGGCACGUCUGCCUGGGCGUCACGC
rnacentral:rRNA from 1 species